rnacentral:rRNA from 1 species
AUGGUUGUGCUCUUUGAUCCUGGAACUGUUGUCGAGAUGGAUGAAGAGGGGUGCUGGUUGGAGGACCCAGAACCCUCCCAGCUGCUAUGUCUCAUGGUGCCCCUACCCUGCCUGCCUGAAUGGCCAAAUUAUUGGCUGUUACUUCUCUGGUUUUAUAUUGAGUUUGGGAAUUUGGUAUUGAUGAUAGUCCGGCGACUCUGUCAUUUGAUGCACAAGUCCAUGCACGUCGGCUCUCUGGGUCGUCCAGUAAAGCUGUCGAAGGAGCUUCAUGCUGAAGAACAUAACACUUGUAGAGCUUGUAAAAUACUGUAUCUCAUUAUUGAACUUGUGGAGCUUGUAGCUGUGACUGGCAUACUGUUAUUACACUUGCAGAGCUUGCAAAGUGUAUGUUAG